rnacentral:tRNA from 1 species
AGGUUUAUAGUUUAAAUAAAACUUUAAAUUGCAAAUUUAAAAAUAAAGAUUGUCUUUUAAACCUU